rnacentral:rRNA from 1 species
GACGUAGGAGGCGAGCGUUGUCCGGAUUCAUUGGGCGUAAAGAGCGCGCAGGCGGUUUGGUAAGUCGGAUGUGAAAUCCCGGAGCUCAACUCCGGACCUGCAUCCGAUACUGCCCGACUAGAGGUAGGUAGGGGAGAUCGGAAUUCCUGGUGUAGCGGUGAAAUGCGCAGAUAUCAGGAGGAACACCGGUGGCGAAGGCAGGUCUCUGGGCCGAUACUGACGCUGAGGAGCGAAAGCGUGGGGAGCGAACAGG